rnacentral:lncRNA from 1 species
GUUUUCUGAUAUUUUAAGCCACCCAGUUUGUGGUACUUUGUUAUGGCAGCUCCAGGAAACUAAUGGCUUGCACGUGUUUCUUGUAUCUGUAUCUAUCUUCCAGGUGUCUUUGGGUCUCUGGGUGCACACAGUAGCCUGCCCAGACGCGCUGGGUGCCCUGCAUGUGUGGAGCCCAAAGCCUGCCUGUAGACAGAGUCAGUGUAAACCAUACUAGACUGAAGGAGGAGCCAAGAGAGGGUUUUAAGGUGCCCACCCUCCUGUUGUGCUCCCCUGGACUAACGUGAUGUCUUCAAAACCUGUCCAGAAGAAGGUGCUUGUGAAUAAACUAGCCUUCCUAAGUAAGUUAAAAGGCUCGGAAGAUUAUCUAACACCCGAAAUUUGUACUUGGAGAUUGGCUUCGCGCAGCAGGGAUGAAUGGGGACACUAAGGAAGACUGCAGAGCAGCAGUGGCUGCAGUUUCUAAACUGCCAUUUGGGACAAAGUGGCAAAGGAGAAAAUUUUUGCAAUGCUGUGGUUUAGAGUGAAUAUUUAGAACUCAAGGCUGAGGGCGACCUUGGUGGUUGUGUGUGGUU